UACGUAGGGUGCAAGCGUUUAAUCGGAAUUACUGGGCGUAAAGCGUGCGCAGGCGGUUCGUUGUGUCGGCGGUGAAAGCCCCGGGCUUAACCUGGGAAUGGCCGUUGAAACUGGCGAACUGGAGUGUGGCAGAGGGGGGGUGGAAUUCCGCGUGUAGCAGUGAAAUGCGUAGAGAUGCGGAGGAACACCGAUGGCGAAGGCAGCCCCCCUGGGCUAACACUGACGCUCAUGCACGAAAGCGUGGGGAGCAAACAGG
rnacentral:rRNA from 1 species